CCUUCUCACUCACCACCAGAAGCCAUGGUGAGGAAGGAAGCCUGUGAGCUUCCAAGCACUAAAGCACCCUGCAAAAUCUGCUGACUUCUAGGAUAGCUGCGAUCAUUCAUGCAAUAAUUCACUAAAUGCAUGCAGUGGGCAGCAGGACCAUACAUCAGCACUGUCUGUCAGCUGCCUGCCCAGUAGCUGCCAGUGUGCUGCCAGCCUCCCGUGUUCCUUUUUUACUUGUAUCCUCAGGCUUUUGUGUGGGGCUGCUCUCAGCCACGAGCAUUAGGGAACCAUUAGUCACUUGAAAAGCAGAGAGGUUCUGAUGUUCAUGUAGAGCUAGACAGUUUCAGUGAGCAAGCAACACAGAUGUGACCGCUUGUGCCCAGACGAUUUAGAGCUGAGAAGGACCUGCUGGUCUCGCUGCUGGGCGGCAGCCGCCACUGCCGUCUUCUCACCCACCUCAUAAUGGGAGGGCAGAGACUGCUCCUCCACUGUGCUAACAUAAAUAUGAAGAAUCGGUGAUGGCUGAGGACAACCAGAGGCUUGCAAGAAAUGCAUAGCCCCAUGGAGCAUUGCACCCUGUGGGAGGGAAGGGUGUCAGCCCUCACUGCCUGGCUCAGCUAUGGGACAGAUAUGGUGCAGGAAGAGGUACAGAGUUGGAGAAAAACACAAAAUAUCUGCAGAUUAGAGAAGAAGAUGAGAGAAAUCACCCUAUUCUUUAUAACAGAGAAAACUGCUCAUGUGGUCCUGUUUGAGCACUCAUUGCCACCAGCAAAGUAUGGAAAUUAGAAAUAUGGCAAGGUUCAGAAGUGACUGAAUAAGUGCAGAAGAAAAAUGCAUCAAGGGUUUUUUAAUAUAAAGUGUGACAUCUUUGGCUCAGACAGUCCCUCAGCUACAGACUGCUGGAGCUGGAGAGUUAGGGUAAGUAUCAGUAUAUGUCUGCCCUCUUCUUAUGCUCUUACCAUUGCUGGCCACUGUCAGAGACUGGUGUUGAUCUGAACAGCUUUUGCCUGACGUGGCCCAUCACCAGUGCAUCAGACAGGACCUUGGAAAACCCAAGAUGUUCCUUUUUCUCCUUUCCUUCUUCUUUCUUUUCCCCUUUCCUCUAAGGAAGGUAACUUCCCACAGGAAUGUAUGUGGAAUGAUAGACCAGUAUCACAUCAACUUGCACAAAUUGUCUGAUUAAUGU